GACGAACGCUGGCGGCGUGCUUAACACAUGCAAGUCGAACGGAAAGGCCCUGCUUUUGUGGGGUGCUCGAGUGGCGAACGGGUGAGUAACACGUGAGUAACCUGCCCUUGACUUUGGGAUAACUUCAGGAAACUGGGGCUAAUACCGGAUAGGAGCUCCUGCUGCAUGGUGGGGGUUGGAAAGUUUCGGCGGUUGGGGAUGGACUCGCGGCUUAUCAGCUUGUUGGUGGGGUAGUGGCUUACCAAGGCUUUGACGGGUAGCCGGCCUGAGAGGGUGACCGGCGACAUUGGGACUGAGAGACGGCCCAGACUCCUACGGGAGGCAGCAGUGGGGAAUAUUGCACAGUGGGCGGAAGCCUGAUGCAGCAACGCCGCGUGCGGGAUGACGGCCUUCGGGUUGUAAACCGCUUUCGCCUGUGACGAAGCGUGAGUGACGGUAAUGGGUAAAGAAGCACCGGCUAACUACGUG
rnacentral:rRNA from 1 species